CCUACGGGGGGCAGCAGUGAGGAAUAUUGGUCAAUGGCCGGAAGGCUGAACCAGCCAUGCCGCGUGAAGGUCAGUGCCCUAUGGGCGUUAAACUUCUUUUGUGCGGGAGCAAUAAUGGUCACGUGUGGCCAGACGAGAGUACCGUACGAAUAAGCAUCGGCUAACUCCGUGCCAGCAGCCGCGGUAAUACGGGGGAUGCAAGCGUUAUCCGGAUUUAUUGGGUUUAAAGGGUGCGUAGGCUGUGAGGUAAGUCAGCGGUGAAAUGCCCCCGCUCAACGGGGUGAAGUGCCAUUGAUACUGCCUGGCUGGAAUGCGGAUGCGGUGGGAGGAAUGUGUGGUGUAGCGGUGAAAUGCAUAGAUAUCACACAGAACACCGAUUGCGAAGGCAUCUCACGAAUCCGCGAUUGACGCUGAUGCACGAAAGCGUGGGUAUCAAACAGGAUUAGAUACCCGGGUAGUC
rnacentral:rRNA from 1 species